rnacentral:rRNA from 1 species
ACCACGAAUUGCAGACGCUUAGAGUGGUAAACUUUCGAACGCAUAGCACCGUCGGGUUCUCUCGUCGGUACGUCUGGUUCAGGGUUGUU